GGCUGGUUCAAGUACAUUGGUGUUUAUAACUAACUAAUCAUAACCAAUCUGUAGAUUUCUUUAUUACUUCUCUACACCCACUGCUUCACUUGACUAGCCUAAC
rnacentral:Y_RNA from 1 species